CAAUAGCGUAUAUUAAAGUUGUUGCAGUUAAAAAGCUCGUAGUUGGAUUUCUGGUUGAAGCGACCGGUCGGGCGUUGAUUCGUCUGCACUGGAGUCGGUUUUGGCCAUCCUCUAGGAAAGUGCGUCUGGUAUUAAGUUAUCGGGCGUAUGAUCCUGGUCUUUUACUGUGAAAAAAUUAGAGUGUUUAAAGCAGGCCUUCGCCUUGAAUACAUUAGCAUGGAAUAAUAAGAUAGGACUUUGGUCUAUUUUGUUGGUUUGCAGACCGAAGUAAUGAUUAAUAGGGAUAGUUGGGGGUAUUUAUAUUCCGAUGUCAGAGGUGAAAUUCUUAGAUUUUCGGAAGGUAAACUUAUGCGAAAGCAUUUACCAAGGAUGUUUUCAUUAA
rnacentral:rRNA from 1 species